UACGGAGGGUGCAAGCGUUAUCCGGAUUCACUGGGUUUAAAGGGUGUGUAGGCGGGUUAUUAAGUCAGUGGUGAAAUCUCCGGGCUCAACCCGGAAACUGCCAUUGAUACUAUUAGCCUUGAAUUCUGUUGAGGUGGGCGGAAUAUGUCAUGUAGCGGUGAAAUGCAUAGAUAUGACAUAGAACACCAAAUUGCGAAGGCAGCUCACUAAAACAGCGAU
rnacentral:rRNA from 1 species